rnacentral:rRNA from 1 species
UACGUAGGCGGCGAGCGUUAUCCGGCUUUACUGGGCGUACAGCGCUUGUAGGCGGCUUCGUAAGUUGGGCGUGAAAGCUCCGGGCUUAACCCGGAGAGGCCGUCCAAUACUGCGGAGCUCGAGGGUGCCAGAGGAAGGUGGAAUUCCUGGUGUAGCGGUGAAAUGCGUAGAUAUCAGGAGGAACACCCGUGGCGAAGGCGGCUUUCUGGGGCAUUCCUGACGCUGAGAAGCGAAAGCUAGUGGAGCAAACAGG